CGCUCUUGCAAUUGGGUCGUUGCGAUUACGGGGCGGAUGUCAGCGGUUCGAGUCCGCUUAUCUCCA
rnacentral:tRNA from 1 species